UACAGAGGGGGCAAGCGUUGUUCGGAAUUACUGGGCGUAAAGGGCACGUAGGCGGCCCGCUAAGUCGAACGUGAAAUCCCCGAGCUCAACUCGGGAACUGCGUCCGAUACUGGCGGGCUUGAAUCCGGGAGAGGGAUGCGGAAUUCCAGGUGUAGCGGUGAAAUGCGUAGAUAUCUGGAGGAAUACCGGUGGCGAAGGCGGCAUCCUGGACCGACAUUGACGCUGAGGAGCGAAAGCUAGGGGAGCAAACGGG
rnacentral:rRNA from 1 species